AUAUUCGUUUAUCAGUUAGGAAAAGGUUGAAGGGGUUGAUCUAUUAAGUUUCUUCCAUACUCAAACUGGUAUCCCCUAUUAUCAAUACCUCUUAAAAACAAGUUUAGGCAAUGUCGCUUAAGUUUGUACAAAACAAUAUUACAGCAAUAAUUACAAAAAAUUGAUACAAUAAUCAUCUGUUAUUUAUUUAUUUGCAUAAAUAUAAAACUUAAUUCCAAAGCAUUCUUUGCCAUAUACAAGAAUGUUGAGAGUUCCUAUAUUUUUGUCCUGCUCGUGUGCGGUCAAUUAGCCCCGGAAAACUCGCCCCGCUCAAUUGCCCACACUGAAGGAUAUCGCCCCGAAAUAUUCUCUCCUCCCUCAGCACCUUCUUGUUAAGGGAACUCCCGGUCAAAAGGGGCGAAUCUGCAAUGGAUAAACUUUUGGGGGCGAGUUAUUUUAUGGCGAUAUAAUCUUGAGGCCUAUUCACCGGAGCGAAUUGCGGGUAUAACAGUAGAUAUUUUAAGGUCGAGUUUCUUAAGACAACUCCUUUAAGAUCGAGUUUUCUUGGCGACGGAGUUUUCCGGGGGAAGGAUAAUUUUUUAAGGGGAAUUUGUAGGGGACGGAUUUUCGAGUGCAAAGACCGAAAGACCAAUUUAAUCGUAAAAAUGGAAGGGAACUCAAGAAUAUCUAUCACUACAAGGAUCAGGCAAUCCUUUGAUACUUCGGUAGCCUCCCAACAGAGUAAAAGGCUUUUCAGAUCAUUCUAGGUUAUUAUACGCUCUUACAUUUUCCAUCUACCCUUAGUUGAAAUAUAUGCAGAACGAAGAAUGAGACCCGCCCCUUCCAAUCCCAGGGAUGUUCGAAAUCGGAAGGGAACCUGCCAAUUUCUUCCCAUCGAAUUCACCAAGAUUCUGCCAUUGUUUUACAAUAGGUACAUAGCCUGGUUUAGAACCAUUACAAAUUCAUGAUAAAAGUCAAAACUGUAAGCUGGAAAUACCAGACGCUACCAAAUUUGAUAUAGCCCGAUAAAAGUGAAAAACAAUACGGUGUAUUUUUUACAUAUUUAUGAAUUCUGACUAUACGUAACCUGAAGUUGAUUACACUGCCCCAUUUGAAUUUAUUGUUAAGCUGUUAUUCUGCGACAUAAUUCAGACACUUUUUUACAUCACUCCAGAUAAAAACUUUUCUAGGCCACGACCUGUAUUAUCGCAACUUAACAAAUCGUUUUUGCGUACAUAGUCAUACUCAUUACAUAAGCAACUAUGGUAAGGUACGUGUCCUUCUUUGUGUGUCUCAUGCUGACAGUUGACUUGGGACUGUCCUUAGUAUGUUACACGUGCACUUCCACGAAUGUCCACUCUUGCUUGGUGGCGGCGAACAGGCAAACCGUGCGAUGUGGAAGGGCUGCUCCUGGUUACACAACGCUGUGUUCUUAUAUAGAAACAUAUGAUCCGUACAGAAGAAUGUAUGACGUACAGGCUGGGUGCCAGAUUGUUAGUGGGGUCGAUACAAUGACCACAAUACAACACAAGCUUUGCUCUAAACCUAAUCUUACAGUAAACAAGUGCAGACUUUGUGCCACCGAUUAUUGUAAUGGAGUGCAUUAAUGACAUCUUUUUUAAGAAUUUACUUGAGUGUUUUGUUGAUAAUAAAUUAUUUUGUUUAAAUAAUUCACGGUUUUAAUGUCGAAUAAACCAGUAAAGGGAG